rnacentral:rRNA from 1 species
ACGGAAGGCAGCAGUAGGGAAUCUUCCACAAUGGGCGAAAGCCUGAUGGAGCAAUGCCGCGUGAGUGAAGAAGGAUUUCGGUUCGUAAAACUCUGUUGCAAGGGAAGAACAUGUAGCGUAGUAACUGGCGCUACCUUGACGGUACCUUGUUAGAAAGCCACGGCUAACUACGUGCCAGCAGCCGCGGUAAUACGUAGGUGGCAAGCGUUGUCCGGAAUUAUUGGGCGUAAAGCGCGCGCAGGUGGUUCCUUAAGUCUGAUGUGAAAGCCCACGGCUCAACCGUGGAGGGUCAUUGGAAACUGGUGAACUUGAGUGCAGAAGAGGAUAGUGGAAUUCCAAGUGUAGCGGUGAAAUGCGUAGAGAUUUGGAGGAACACCAGUGGCGAAGGCGACUGUCCGGUCUGUAACUGACACUGAGGCGCGAAAGCGUGGGGAGCAAACAGGAUUAGAUACCCUGGUA